GGAUAAGUUUGUUUGGCUUGUUAUAAGGGAGAUCGAGAUACAAAGGGGAAAGAAAACAAAACGAAGAAGGAUCAAAAAAUUUUUCCUUCAUCCUAUUCUUCGGAUCCUCUCAUCUCCCAACGGCUCACCUUUCUUCGUUCACUCACCAAACUACCCAACCUCACAACCUUCACAUACUCCAACCUUACUCCCUCCAUACGAAAAUCACCCUUCAGAACCUCACCUUCCAACAUUCUCCGAUUCAUCCACCAUACAACUCUCACACCACUCACUCCUUCCACUCACUGUACAAAACCUCUGUCCGCUAGCUUCAACGUCAGCUCAACACUUCUGCCUAAUUUUCGUGAGUUACUGA